ACAUUUGGGAAAAAUUAAGAAUUUAUGCUUUUUUCCCGAAAAACAUAAAAAAAAUGCCUCAAAAUUUUAAUUUCGCGCGAAAAAUCCAGUGGAGCGCGUUUGCUUGGCUCCGCCCACUUUUCAAAUCCUGGACACCGUGAUUACGUCGAAAAAACCUCAGAGCAAUUAAUCUCGUGCAGUUUGGAGCAAGAUUACCCCGAAAAGUUUAAACAAAAAAAAAAUUUAAAAAAUCAAUUUUCCAGAUUUUCUCCAAUUUUCAAAAAAAAUAAAUCCAAAUUGAAUGCAUUUCAACUACUCUUUUCGUGCAGUGUCUGAGUCAGGCAAAAUAAAAUAUUAUCGAUUUUUGACGUAGCGAGACAGCGUGUCAAGUUAUGCGUCAGCAAUCACCGGGUCUCGCCCCGAUUCAGCUCUUGGUGGCGAGAGAGAAAACAAUUUUUUGCUAUUUUUAUUUUCUUUUGCUGCCGUGCAAUUUGCACUUGCAGCAACGGUAUAGAACCACCAGAAAUUGAGCUGUACCGACAGACAACCACUCGUGGGGACGUAAUGUCCUCAACCUAUUCUCAAACUUUCAAUGGAUAUGGCGUCGCAGUUUCUUUAGUGAACUGCGGCGUGAAUGCGAGUUCCAAGUGGGCCAUUUUUGGUAAGCAGAACUGGCGCUGUGGGAUGAACCAAACGUGGAGUUAAGGUGCCUAACUUCUCGCUUAUGAGACCCCAUAAAAGGUGUUGGUUGAUAUUGACAGCAGGACGGUGGCCAUGGAAGUCGGUACCCGCUAAGGAGUGUGUAACAACUCACCUGCCGAAUCAACUAGCCCUGAAAAUGGAUGGCGCUUAAGCGAGAGACCUAUACUCCGCCGUCGCGGCAUGUGCGUUGUCUAGCGCCAGGUCGCGACGAGUAGGAAGGACGUGGCGGUUGCGUUGAAGGCUAUGAGCGUAGGCUCGGCUGGAGCUUCCGUCAGUGCAGAUCGUAAUGGUAGU
rnacentral:ncRNA from 1 species